GGGUGUAUAGCUCAGUGGUAGACCGUGUGCUUGGCCUGCAUGAGGUCCUGGGUUCGAUCCCCAGUGCCUGCA
rnacentral:tRNA from 1 species